GGGGUCAAAACUAUAAUUUGGCAUUAAAAUUAGAAACAUCAUAUCAUGGGGAACAUGUGUAUUAAGUUUCAAGUUGAUUGGACUUCAGCUUCAUCAAAAACUACCUCGACCAAAAACUUUAACCUGAAGCGAACGGACGGACAGACGGACGAAUGGAGGCAUAGACCAGAAAACAUAAUGCCCCUCUACUAUCGUAGGUGGGGCAUAA
rnacentral:lncRNA from 1 species